rnacentral:rRNA from 1 species
GACAGAGGGUGCAAACGUUGUUCGGAAUUACUGGGCGUAAAGCGUGUGUAGGCGGUGAGGUAAGUCGGAUGUGAAAGCCCAGGGCUCAACCCUGGAAGUGCACUCGAUACUGCUUCGCUUGAGUACUGGAGAGGUUGGUGGAAUUCUCGGUGUAGAGGUGAAAUUCGUAGAUAUCGAGAGGAACAUCUGUGGCGAAGGCGGCCAACUGGACCGGCAUUGACGCUGAGGUGCGAAAGCGUGGGGAGCAAACAGG